GACGAGGGAUCCUAGCGUUGUUCGGAAUCAUUGGGCGUAAAGCGGAUGUAGGUGGCUUUGUAAGUCGGAUGUGAAAGCCCAGGGCUCAACCCUGGAAGUGCAUUCGAUACUGCGAAGCUUGAGUGCUAGAGAGGUUACUAGAAUACCUGGUGUAGUGGUGAAAUACGUAGAUAUCAGGUGGAAUACCGGAGGCGAAGGCGGGUAACCAGCUAGACACUGACACUGAGAUCCGAAAGUGUGGGGAUCAAACAGG
rnacentral:rRNA from 1 species